CAGUAGCCGCGGUAAUACGAGGGGGGCAAGCGUUGUUCGGAAUUAUUGGGCGUAAAGGGUGCGUAGGCGGCUUGACAAGUCUUGUGUGAAAUCUAUGGGCUCAACCCAUAGUCUGCACGGGAAACUGUCGGGCUUGAGAAUGGGAGAGGUGAGUGGAAUUUCCGGUGUAGCGGUGAAAUGCGUAGAUAUCGGAAGGAACACCUGUGGCGAAAGCGGCUCACUGGACCAUUUCUGACGCUGAUGCACGAAAGCUAGGGGAGCAAACAGGAUUAGAUACCCCAGUAGUCCCUGUCUCUUAUAC
rnacentral:rRNA from 1 species